GCGUCCCUGCCGCCAGGUUGUUGACCAGGAUGCUUUCACUGGUGGGCGGGAUCAUUCUGGGAAGAUGCGGACGGGACACGGCAAGUGUACCACUACAGCAGCAGACAUGCUCACUACUAGACCGCUGUGUUGACCCUGGUUUUGAAAUGUCUACCCUUAAUCUUCACCUGUACACCAGCGAGUCAUCGCCCGUCUUGGUGUUACCGAGGGGCACACCGCCGCCCGGACCCUCCGCCCCCGUCUUGGUCACAGUGGCGAUGUCCGAAGACCCCGGGUC